AUUGAACGCUGGCGGCAUGCCUUACACAUGCAAGUCGAACGGCAGCGGUACCGUCGGGUGCCGGCGAGUGGCGAACGGGUGAGUAAUAUAUCGGAACGUACCUUUCAGUGGGGGAUAACGUAGCGAAAGUUACGCUAAUACCGCAUAUUCUGUGAGCAGGAAAGCAGGGGAUCGCAAGACCUUGCGCUGAUUGAGCGGCCGAUAUCAGAUUAGCUAGUUGGUGAGGUAAAGGCUCACCAAGGCGACGAUCUGUAGCGGGUCUGAGAGGAUGAUCCGCCACACUGGAACUGAGACACGGUCCAGACUCCUACGGGAGGCAGCAGCGGGGAAUUUUGGACAAUGGGCGCAAGCCUGAUCCAGCCAUGCCGCGUGAGUGAAGAAGGCCUUCGGGUUGUAAAGCUCUUUCGGCCGGGAAGAAAUCGCACAGGUUAAUACCCUGUGUGGAUGACGGUACCGGAAUAAGAAGCACCGGCUAACUACGUG
rnacentral:rRNA from 1 species